rnacentral:rRNA from 1 species
UCCUGGCUCAGAUUGAACGCUGGCGGCAUGCCUUACACAUGCAAGUCGAACGGCAGCACGGGAGCUUGCUCCUGGUGGCGAGUGGCGAACGGGUGAGUAAUACAUCGGAACGUACCCAGGAGUGGGGGAUAACGUAGCGAAAGUUACGCUAAUACCGCAUAUUCUGUGAGCAGGAAAGCGGGGGAUCGCAAGACCUCGCGCUCUUGGAGCGGCCGAUGUCGGAUUAGCUAGUUGGUGAGGUAAAAGCUCACCAAGGCGACGAUCCGUAGCAGGUCUGAGAGGAUGAUCUGCCACACUGGGACUGAGACACGGCCCAGACUCCUACGGGAGGCAGCAGUGGGGAAUUUUGGACAAUGGGGGCAACCCUGAUCCAGCCAUGCCGCGUGAGUGAAGAAGGCCUUCGGGUUGUAAAGCUCUUUCGGCGGGGAAGAAAUGGCAACGGCUAAUAUCCGUUGUUGAUGACGGUACCCGCAUAAGAAGCACCGGCUAACUACGUGCCAGCAGCCGCGGUAAUACGUAGGGUGCGAGCGUUAAUCGGAAUUACUGGGCGUAAAGCGUGCGCAGGCGGUUUCGUAAGACAGACGUGAAAUCCCCGGGCUCAACCUGGGAACUGCAUUUGUGACUGCGAGGCU